UAGUUCUUUUGGCAAUUAGAAAAUUAAAAUGAACAUGUGAACAGAGGUGAUGAAUGACUCUUAAGUGACAUUCUUAAUUUAGGUACAUACUUCUUACCUUUCCUCGUGUGAUUACUAAUGAUUUUUCAUUCAAGAAUCAAGUAGAAUAUACUUCCUUUAUUUCAUUGAAUGAUAUUGGAUAUGGCAGCAAGCGUGGUCUCUCUUACUGCCAGGAUUGCAUUGAAGUGCAUACAUAGACUAACUGAGGAUGUUGCUUCUGGAUUAUCCUUUUACUUAGGGUACUGACAGAUCUUAACUUUCCACUUGGUUUAGGAUUAAGGAUGGUGUGGCCUCCAGGAAGAGUAGACCAUUUCCUAUACCCUUCCUCAGCCUGGCUGGGCUCACAAAUAUGGCCAGACUAAAAGCUCUGUAGGUCAAGCUAGGCAAACAUCUAGUUUUCAUACUCUGCUCUCUCUGCAUGUGGCCUGGAAAUCUGAGUCCUAGAGAAAAGGAACAGAACAUAAGACUUAUACUUCAGACCCCAGCCACUUUCUCUAAUGCAUCCUAAUCAACAACAAUGCCAGUAUUCUGAUCCCAUUUGACUCCCAUUCAUGUGUCUCAAUUGGUUCUGCGCUCUAAAGAGGGAAGUGGAUGAAUAAAUUUGGUUUUUUUCAGAGCUUUCUUUAGGCUUGAUGACUCAUUUUGGCCAAGUCCCACAGCGAGGGCUAACUAUAAAGCAUUCUUGCUAUCAAUGUGGACCUCCCUCCCCCCAUUUUACCUAGCCCACUUAUUACAAGGUCUUUGUGUAUUCCAGAAUUAGGAUAUGCUCCAAUCUUACCUUCAUAACCUUUCCCUCAGCACUUCACAGAAUAAGACUUAAAGGGCAUUAUUAGUGCUAUGUUAUGAAUAGUUUAUUAUCAGACUUCACAACUUCAGGAUAUGAAGCUUCUUGCAAGUAGGGAGAAGAAGACUCUCCUCAUCUUCUGCUUUACUGCACCUUGAACAGCUUGCCCACGAUUAAAGGGCACUAAGUGUAAAGAAAAUUAAUAUGCUAACGCAGAAGUCUAGAGCCCUGAAACUGUUGAGAUAUUAAAAAUGUAUCCAAAAUACUUCAAGAAUCUAACCUGACAUUUUUAAAUGUCACUGAACCAUGAAUCUAGUGAGAAGCUAGCACUAGACUGUGAAAUAAUGUAGACAGUAGAGUGUGUCCAGUUGUCUCCAUUGUGUCCAAUAGAUGUGAGGACCCAGAUGCUGAAGAUUCAUUUGUCUAGAUUGGUGAUGGAGAAGAGAAUAGCAGCUGUUCCUUUGUGACAUGGGAGCAUAUUUUGCCUAAUAAUAGCAAAGUUAAAUUUCCAUAAAAUCAGACAGUGAUGAAGAAAAAAAGAGAACAUUUUUUUCACCAUCUAUUCAACUAAAAGAGGAUUCUGAAACCUAAACAAGUAAAUUAAUACAUUCUUCAACCACACAAUGCAAUGGGGAUGGAACAUGAACAUUGUUGUCUAGAAGGUUUAGGUAUUGCUAAGUGCUUUUCAAAAAGGUACCCUGUCUCUCAUAAAACACCUCCACACUCAGAGUCAGUAGAUGCAAAAGACUCAAUAGGAUUCUGAAAAGUCCAAUGGCCAGUAAAAAAUAAUUUUCAGUGCAUCAAUAAUUGUGAAUUGAAUUGAAAAGAUGUUAUGGUAUCUGUGAAACAAAUUAAUAGGGGAUUAUGCUCAUUUAGAUGAAGAGCAUUGUAUUCGUUAUUUUAAGGUGAUUCUUGAUCUCUUUUCCUGUUUGGGACCGUAUACAGAAUUACUAUGGGAGUGAGAGAAAAAUGGUAAAGAGAGGGAUUCACCAUGGGGGAAAUGAAGGUCAUUUACAAAAACACCCUUCCUUCUCCAUUUCUUACCUAACCUUCUUUGUACUUUUAGUAGUUUUCCACCAUGCUUAUAUCCUUUAUAGUCUUUGUCCUUAACACAAUCUGGUAUCUUUAUUCAGGCUGUUCUGGUCAUUGUCUUCACAGGAGUGCUUUCCCAUGCUUUGCUUUUGACUUAAAUGCCAUAACCAUCAGAGAUCCUAAUCUAUCUGUGCAUAGCCUAAAGUAGCCCCUCCCUCCAGAAACUGACAUUUUUCAGAGAAAAUAAUAUAUUCAAAAAAUUUUAAUGAAGUAUUUAAUUAUAGGUCAAACUUACUUUUGUGGCAAUAAGGAUCCAAUCCGGAGUCGAAUAUAUGGUAAGCACUUUACCAUUGAGCUGUAGUUUCUGCUCACAAGGUUUAAAUGAUCACCGUGUCUAUCACUUUCAUUGAACUAUAAGCCAAGCACAGGCCUCAUCUAUGAAAUGCUCAUCAUACAGUCUAGUUCCUUAUAAGUUAGUUGAUGUACAAUCAGCAAUGGACAGGUUAAAACACUUGAAUGAGUAACUAUGUUGGUGGAAUAAUCGUCAUCAUCUAUACUGAAUAUAUAAUGAGUUAACGAAUCCAUUGCUAGUGAGUACUUACUAAUCGUUACUGUUGAACAGACACCAGAAGAACAAUGGAAACAAAGACAAGUAAAGGAAUUUUUCUCAAGUUCAUACAGUGAUAAGUAGCUGGCUGGAAGGAAAACCAUGCGGUCUGAAGAUGACACCCUCUCUGGACAGAAGUUCAGCAUUAUGAGAUGAUCCAUGCUGUGAAUGCCAGCCUCGUUUUCAAAAUGCAUUCUGUAGCUUUGACGACAUAAAAGAAGCCCACUUGUGGUCACAAAAACAAGUUUAUUAUUACGAAGCCUCAUCGAGUUGCUGCAACAGAAUAGCUAAGUGUUCAUUUAAGCAACAAUAGACUCUAUAAUCAACAUCAGAUACAACACUAUUUCCUGACAUUACUAGACAGUCACCUAGUAGCCACAAUCAUUGUGACUAUCCCAUAGCUUUAGAGGACAGAAUUUAAGGAGCAGCCUGUCAGGUGUCAUUAGAUCGAAGUAUCUUGUGAAAGCCUGCUUAUUGGUUCCCAGAUGGCUGUCUUCUCAGAUCCUCACAGGGCAUAGGAAGCAAGCCCUCUCCUAAUGUGUGGGCGCUCUGAUUACAUCAUAACAUCCUCAUGAUCAUGACCUCAUCUACACCUGAUUCCUUCUCAAGGCCCCAAAUCAUUAUCCCAUGUAGCAUCUCUUUUUUAAACAAGAAACCCAUUAAGUCGCAAAUUAAGUAAAAACGAGGCCUUUAUUCAUGCAAUUUUCUUAUCUUGUCGAUCUAAUUUUUCAUCCAUAAGGAUUUGGCCUAAUUGGAUUAUACAGUUCAUGCAUAGUUUCCUUCCCUGAAGCCAAGGCUACUAUUUAAAUCUUAUUGCAUUACCUAGAAACAAUCUCCCACAAGUAUAAAUGCUAUAUUAUAUGAUAUAUGUGAUUUAAGUCAAUAAUCAUCAAGUAGUGUCAUUUUCCUUAAGAUCAUAUCCCAUGGGUAUAAGUAAUAUAGAUAGGAGAUAGCCUCACUAUCAUAUUCCAUAGACAAUUAUGGAAUUUAUCAUUCUUAUUUUUGAUAAUCUUAUUCAUCUUUAAAAUGGACAGUAACAAUAUUUAGCCCAAUACCCUCUCCUAUUUUUCUUCCACUACUACUGAGCUCUUUUCUUCUUCAAGACUAGUAUCCAUUCUACUUUCAUGUGUUUUUGUUGCUAACUAAUUUUUAGAGAACAUUUUAAUACAUGAUCAUAUCCCUUUAAAAAAGGGAAAGUUUUUAAACAAUUGUACUUAUUUCUACUGACAUUUAAAAGUUCUCUGAUUAUUUUAGCUUCUCAUAUAGCUAACAUACACAGAGAAAAUACCUAAGUUAAAGGGCUAGAUUUUUUUAUAAAGAAAAAUAGUAGAUUUUAGCAGGUAGGAAAAAGGAAGAAUCUAAUUGGAAUCCAGUUAAGUUAUUGAUGUAACUUAAUGCUCUCUUACCAGGUAUCUUGGUCAAAGAAAAAAAAUUAAAAACACAACAAUGGAUAUAUGAGUCACCAAUAGGAAGAAAUUCAGUCCCUGACAAUGACAAAAAUGAAGGGGAAAUGACUAAGUGCCACAAUGGAAAGCUGUAAUAAUCAGAAGAACAGAAACAAAAAAAUGGAACAGAGACUGAAAGAAGUG
rnacentral:sRNA from 1 species